rnacentral:rRNA from 1 species
UACGGAGGGAGCUAGCGUUGUUCGGAAUUACUGGGCGUAAAGCGCACGUAGGCGGCUUUGUAAGUUAGAGGUGAAAGCCUGGGGCUCAACUCCGGAACUGCCUUUAAGACUGCAUCGCUUGAAUCCAGGAGAGGUGAGUGGAAUUCCGAGUGUAGAGGUGAAAUUCGUAGAUAUUCGGAAGAACACCAGUGGCGAAGGCGGCUCACUGGACUGGUAUUGACGCUGAGGUGGCGAAAAGCGUGGGGAGCAAACAGG